rnacentral:rRNA from 1 species
GCAAGUCGAACGGAGAUCUUGAAUAGCUUGCUAAUUAAGAUCUUAGUGGCGGACGGGUUAGUAACACGUGAGAACCUACCCUUUAGACAGGAAUAGCCCAUGGAAACGUGGAUUAAUGCCUGAUAGUCUCUACGGAGUAAAUGGUGCCUUCGGGUAUCGCUAGAGGAUGGGCUCGCGGCCUAUCAGCUUGUUGGUGAGGUAAAGGCUCACCAAGGCGACGACGGGUAGCUGGUCUGAGAGGACGAUCAGCAACACUGGAACUGAGACACGGUCUAGACACCUACGGGUGGCAGCAGUCGAGAAUCAUUCACAAUGGAGGCAACUCUGAUGGUGCAACGCCGCGUGGAGGAUGACGGUCCUAGGAUUGUAAACUCCUGUCAUUGGGGAGUAAGACUUAAGCGUUAAGAGCGUUUAAGUUUGAUAGUACCCAAAAGAGGAAGGGACGGCUAAACUUCGUGCCAGCAGCCGCGGUAAUACGAAAGGUCCCAAGCGUUGUUCGGAAUCACUGGGGCGUAAAGCGUGUGUAGGCUGCGCGGAAAGUCCAAUGUGAAAGCCCGGGGCUCAACCUCGGAAACUGCAUUCGAUACUCCCGUGCUAGAGUAAUGGAGAGGUAAGUGGAAUUCCUGGUGUAGCAGUGGAAUGCGUGGAUAUCAGGAGGAACACAUCAAUGGCGAAGGCAACUUACUGGACAUUUUACUGACGC